UUUCUUUUUUAUCAUCAUUAUUUAAUUGGCAGGAAAAGGGUUAGCAGCACUACAUAUUCAAGCUAACAUAUUUACAUGAGGCCGACCAGAGCACUUCUGAAGCAAAGCAAAUUCAUCUUUUUACUAGUUUUAAUAUUCGCUAUUCUUAAUAAGAAGCAAGAAUAUGCUAAUAAGAAGCAAGCAAAUGUCCCCAAAUGUGGGCUGUUGUUUUGUUACAGAUUAUUUGGGUGUUUAGAAUAAUAAAAGUUAGUUCUUAUGUUAGCACUCAACAUUGAGUUAAUAGGACAUGAGUGAACUUGUUUCUUUAAUGAAUAACGGAGCAGAAUCCGUGGUUUUUCCAACAGAAGUAAAGAAAAUAAAAAGUACAAAAAGUACAAAGAAGAACAUUUGAGUCCAGGUACUUGAAGUGUGGUGGUGUGUACCCAUCACUGUAAUUUACACGCGCUACAGUACAUCAUUCUGGCCAAGUAGUCAAGUAAGGAUUUUUGCACCAUCUGAUCGAUUAAUAGAAUAACGUUGUGUUGUUCAUGUGUGCGUGUCUGUCUGUCUGUGUGUAUGAAUGUGUCUGCGUGCGUCCAUCUGUUAUUGCCUCAAAUACAAUUUCCACCCCAAAAUAAUUCACCUUAAACCAGCACGUGCUCCUCUUAGUGAUCACACUCUGGCGUCUCCAAACCUCGUUAACACCAGGCUGUUCAGCAUCACGGGCUCCCCCAUUGGCCCAAGCAUUCACAUGAUAUGAGUGUUAAAGAGAGGCUCAGCCGUACCCUGCUAUUAUGGGAUGGAAAAUGUGCUUAAGAGGAAGGAGGAGCUUAGAUGAGGUAAGGGAGAGGGAGAGGGAGGGAAAUCGAAUUGGAAAUCAAAAUCGACAUGAAGGCAGAGAAGGGUUUGUAAAAAGACAGAGUAAAGGUGUGUGGACGGUAGAGAGGCCUCUCUGGUUCAACCUGGCCUCCUAGCCAGGGUCGUCUCCAUGCCGACGGGCCCGACACAGGCAGAGUGCCCCAGUGCAUCAUGGAUCUUAUUUAGACGCUGGUGCUGCGACUGAUAACUAAAAAACAGCCUCAUGACAAAACGACAGGACCGGGAAUGUGCUUCCCUUCCUACCCUACAGUUGACCCUGACCUGGGAAAGGGAGCAUACGCCAAUGGUAGCAGAGAACCCAACCUGCACACCUGUACCAAUACACCUGUAAACAUGCAAACAUGCACACCUGCACACAUGCACUGGGCGCUAAGCUAUGCUCUAUGAAAGGUAGCAGUAUAUGUUGACAAACACGCCUAUAAUCAGACACAAGUGGUACACACACACAGCUACACACAAACAGGCAAUUAGCAGGGAAAGGAACACUCCCACACUCCCUCUCUCUCUCUCUCUCUCUCUCUCUCUCUCUCUCUCUCUCUCUCUCUCUCUCUCUCUCUCUCUCUCUCUCUCUCUCUCUCUCUCUCUCUCUCUCUCUCUCUCUCUCUCUCUCUCUCUCUCUCUCUCUCUCUCUAACUACCAAUUAGGGUAAUAAUGGCCUAACGGCAGUAGGAAAAAUACAGACAAACUCAAACACACACACGCACGCACGCACACGCACACGCACACGGUAAUACAUAAAUAUACAGACACACACCAACACACAGACAAAACACAAACACAGACACAUACACAAAGACAGACACAGACUCCUAUAUGUGUGUGUUUAUGUUUGUGUGUGAGUGUGUGCGUUUGUGUGUGCGUCAAAGCCGAGAUGAUGUUUAGCACCAGAUUGCAGAGGGAGGGAGAGAGAGAGAGGAACAAGCCAAACUGAUAUGUUGCCAACACCUACACACAAGAGGAAUCAUUCAGCAUUGCUCUUACUACUUAAAAUAAAUGAAAAUAAAUCAAUAUUUGAUACGAUCAUUGAAGAUCAAUAAUAAGGCUUUUGUGCGCUCGGAUGACUCCAUACGGUGGUCGGCUCUGAGCUUAUGGCCGUUAUCGGCGUUACCGCGGUAAUGGUUAGAACAACCUUCACACAAGAACAUUUCCAUUUUUAUUUAGCUAGGGGUAGCCGGGGAGUUUCUUAACCAGGACGGAGAGGGGGGAGGGGGAGGGGGGGAGGGGGAGGAGGGGGAGGGGCUGACCUCAAAAGCACCAGGGAAUGUGUAGCUGACAGAAAAGCAUGAAAUAUGGAGAGAUGAGAGAGGAGAGAGAGAGAGAGAGAGGAGGAGGGCUGGACAUGAGACUGGCGGUUAGGGAGUGAGGAGGAGAGCGAGAUGGGGCGGGAGAGAGACAUGGACGGAGAGAGAUAAGGAGAGAAGGAUGGAGAGAGAGGGGUGAGGACGGCGGGAUGGAGAGAAAGUGACGAUGGAGGAGAGUAAUGUGGAGAGUGAUGUGGAGGAGAGUGAGGUGGUGGAGAGUGAGGUGGUGGAGAGUGAGGUGGAGGAGAGUGAGGUGGUGGAGAGUGAGGUGGUGGAGAGUGAGGUGGCUGGUCGUUGGUCUGCUCCAUCAGGAGAAGCCUGUUGGAGGGAGAAACAGA
ensembl:lncRNA